UACACUUUACUGCCUAUAAAUUACUUAAUCUGUUUCAUCAUGAUUUGAAUUACUUAAAGUUAGGUUUAGCUUACUUGCAUAUGAGCAUUCUCAACUAUAUACAAAAGUUGAACUUUUGAUUUUAGGAGAUGCAUACAGUACCUUUUGAAGGGUUAAUUUGAGUUCAUAUGGAUUGUGGUCCCACAUACAAGCAAGUAUGUACAUUGAAGCCUCAGGAGAACCAUGAGAUAAGAAUGUUGGUUGUUUUGGUUUUCUUCAAGAUUUGAUGUUGAAGUUUUAAUUGAGGACUAAAUUGGCCUUUUGAUUAGUUUAUAUUUUGAAUAGUGAAGGAUGUUCCAACUUGGGAGCUACCAAGAAACAUGCAUUUAUCUGUAAACAAGACAUUUUGGAGACACAAUUAUGGUUGGUACAAGAAUGACUAUUAUGAGAAUUGACGCCAUUUUUUCAAGCUGCCAAAUCGUACACGUCUCACAAGGAAGCAAUUGAAGUUAGACAACCAUAUAUAAGAGCUCUAGGAAUAGAAGAAACAAUCGCAUGCCCAUUUUUCAACAGAAGAUGUUGAAGAAUUUAAACAACUGCAUCAGAUAAGAAUGCAUAUCAAAAUAUUUGCUACAAGAAACCAUUCGUAUAUGGUCAUUGUGUUUUGUCUUCUUACGGGUGCUAUCUUGGAUGGUGUUGAAAUUCUUUCGACCACUGCCUAUGCGACAACACUUUCAACGCGACAUUCAUACAUCGUCGGCUACAUUGCAUACUUUGUCCGCCGCAACGCGGCGGGAUACAUCC